rnacentral:rRNA from 1 species
AGUAGUUUGACUCCGUGGCUCGAGGACGAACGCUGGCGGCGUGCUUAACACAUGCAAGUCGAACGGUAAGGCCCUUCGGGGUACACGAGUGGCGAACGGGUGAGUAACACGUGGGUGAUCUGCCCUGCACUUCGGGAUAAGCCUGGGAAACUGGGUCUAAUACCGGAUAGGACCAUGGACUUCACGGUUUGUGGUGGAAAGCUUUUGCGGUGUGGGAUGGGCCCGCGGCCUAUCAGCUUGUUGGUGGGGUAAUGGCCUACCAAGGCGACGACGGGUAGCCGGCCUGAGAGGGUGUCCGGCCACACUGGGACUGAGAUACGGCCCAGACUCCUACGGGAGGCAGCAGUGGGGAAUAUUGCACAAUGGGCGCAAGCCUGAUGCAGCGACGCCGCGUGAGGGAUGACGGCCUUCGGGUUGUAAACCUCUUUCAAUAGGGACGAAGCGCAAGUGACGGUACCUAUAGAAGAAGCACCGGCCAACUACGUG